UACAGAGGUCUCAAGCGUUGUUCGGAUUCAUUGGGCGUAAAGGGUGCGUAGGUGGCGCUGUAAGUCGGGUGUGAAAUUCGAUCGGCUUAACUCCGAAACUGCAUUCGAUACUGCGGUGCUUGAGGACUGGAGAGGAGACUGGAAUUCAUGGUGUAGCAGUGAAAUGCGCAGAUAUCAGGAGGAACACCGAUGGCGAAGGCAGGUCUCUGGGCCAUAACUGACGCUGAGAAGCGAAAGCAUGGGGAGCGAACAGG
rnacentral:rRNA from 1 species